rnacentral:rRNA from 1 species
UGCUGGAGGUAUCAGAAGUGCGAAUGCUGACAUAAGUAACGAUAAAGCGGGUGAAAAGCCCGCUCGCCGGAAGACCAAGGGUUCCUGUCCAACGUUAAUCGGGGCAGGGUGAGUCGACCCCUAAGGCGAGGCCGAAAGGCGUAGUCGAUGGGAAACAGGUUAAUAUUCCUGUACUUGGUGUUACUGCGAAGGGGGGACGGAGAAGGCUAUGUUAGCCGGGCGACGGUUGUCCCGGUUUAAGCAUGUAGGCGGAGGUUCCAGGUAAAUCCGGUACCUUUUAACGCUGAGGUGUGAUGACGAGGCACUACGGUGCUGAAGUAACAAAUGCCCUGCUUCCAGGAAAAGCCUCUAAGCAUCAGGUAACAUUAAAUCGUACCCCAAACCGACACAGGUGGUCAGGUAGAGAAUACCAAGGCGCUUGAGAGAACUCGGGUGAAGGAACUAGGCAAAAUGGUGCCGUAACUUCGGGAGAAGGCACGCUGGUGUGUAGGUGAAGUCCCUGCGGAUGGAGCUGAGACCAGUCGAAGAUACCAGCUGGCUGCAACUGUUUAUUAAAAACACAGCACUGUGCAAACACGAAAGUGGACGUAUACGGUGUGACGCCUGCCCGGUGCCGGAAGGUUAAUUGAUGGGGUUAUCCGUAAGGAGAAGCUCUUGAUCGAAGCCCCGGUAAACGGCGGCCGUAACUAUAACGGUCCUAAGGUAGCGAAAUUCCUUGUCGGGUAAGUUCCGACCUGCACGAAUGGCGUAAUGAUGGCCAGGCUGUCUCCACCCGAGACUCAGUGAAAUUGAACUCGCUGUGAAGAUGCAGUGUACCCGCGGCAAGACGGAAAGACCCCGUGAACCUUUACUAUAGCUUGACACUGAACAUUGAGCCUUGAUGUGUAGGAUAGGUGGGAGGCUUUGAAGCGUGGACGCCAGUCUGCGUGGAGCCAACCUUGAAAUACCACCCUUUAAUGUUUGAUGUUCUAACGUAGGCCCCUGACCGGGGUUGCGGACAGUGUCUGGUGGGUAGUUUGACUGGGGCGGUCUCCUCCCAAAGAGUAACGGAGGAGCACGAAGGUUAGCUAAUCCUGGUCGGACAUCAGGAGGUUAGUGCAAUGGCAUAAGCUAGCUUGACUGCGAGCGUGACGGCGCGAGCAGGUGCGAAAGCAGGUCAUAGUGAUCCGGUGGUUCUGAAUGGAAGGGCCAUCGCUCAACGGAUAAAAGGUACUCCGGGGAUAACAGGCUGAUACCGCCCAAGAGUUCAUAUCGACGGCGGUGUUUGGCACCUCGAUGUCGGCUCAUCACAUCCUGGGGCUGAAGUAGGUCCCAAGGGUAUGGCUGUUCGCCAUUUAAAGUGGUACGCGAGCUGGGUUUAGAACGUCGUGAGACAGUUCGGUCCCUAUCUGCCGUGGGCGCUGGAGAAUUGAGGGGGGCUGCUCCUAGUACGAGAGGACCGGAGUGGACGCAUCACUGGUGUUCGGGUUGUCAUGCCAAUGGCACUGCCCGGUAGCUAAAUGCGGAAGAGAUAAGUGCUGAAAGCAUCUAAGCACGAAACUUGCCCCGAGAUGAGUUCUCCCUGAGACUAUAAGUCUCCUGAAGGAACGUUGAAGACGACGACGUUGAUAGGCCGGGUGUGUAAGCGCAGCGAUGCGUUGAGCUAACCGGUACUAAUGAACCGUGAGGCUUAACCUU